CCUUACCAGCCCUUGACAUGUCCAGGACCGGUCGCAGAGAUGUGACCUUCUCUUCGGAGCCUGGAACACAGGUGCUGCAUGGCUGUCGUCAGCUCGUGUCGUGAGAUGUUGGGUUAAGUCCCGCAACGAGCGCAACCCCCGUCCUUAGUUGCUACCAUUUAGUUGAGCACUCUAAGGAGACUGCCGGUGAUAAGCCGCGAGGAAGGUGGGGAUGGCGUCAAGUCCUCAUGGCCCUUACGGGCUGGGCUACACACGUGCUACAAUGGCGGUGACAAUGGGAUGCUAAGGGGCGACCCUUCGCAAAUCUCAAAAAGCCGUCUCAGUUCGGAUUGGGCUCUGCAACUCGAGCCCAUGAAGUUGGAAUCGCUAGUAAUCGUGGAUCAGCACGCCACGGUGAAUACGUUCCCGGGCCUUGUACACACCGCCCGUCACACCAUGGGAGUUGGCUUUACCUGAAGACGGUGCGCUAACCAGCAAUGGAGGCAGCCGGCCACGGUAGGGUCAGCGACUGGGGUGAAGUCGUAACAAGGUAGCCGUAGGGGCC
rnacentral:rRNA from 1 species